UUUGUUGUUCCCAGCUGAUUUCUGUUUCCUCGUAUUGUUCGUCCUCCACAGUGCCAAAUCUAUUGAUUCUGGUACAAAUUUAAGACUAGUCAAUUUUUAUUAGUAAAAUAGUCAUGUUUCUUGAGCCUGAAUUUUCAUCUUGAAAUUUCUUUUACUUGUCAGUGCAAUGAUCUCCUCAUACCGUUCGUCAUCUACAAUGCCAAAUCUAUUGAUUCUUCUACAAAUUUAAGACGAGUGAAGUUUUAGUUGUCAAUUGUCAUGUUUCUUGCGCCUGAAUUUUCAUCUUUAUAUUUCUUUUACUUAUCAGUGCAAUGAUGCAGGUGGAUAUCUUAAAUGGGAUUACUAUGGGCGGUGGUGCUGGAAUUUCAAUCCCCUGGGUCAUUCCGAGUUGCUACUGAUAAAACUGUAUUAAACUUCCAUGAAAUUUAACAAUCUCGAUUUCUUCU
rnacentral:lncRNA from 1 species